CCUACGGGUGGCAGCAGUGAGGAAUAUUGGUCAAUGGGCGCGAGCCUGAACCAGCCAAGUCGCGUGAGGGAGGACGGCCCUACGGGUUGUAAACCUCUUUUGCCGGGGCGCAACGGGCGCCUCGUGUGGCGUCACUGAGAGUACCCGGCGAAAAAGCAUCGGCUAACUCCGUGCCAGCAGCCGCGGUAAUACUGAGGAUGCGAGCGUUAUCCGGUUUUAGUGGGUUUAAAGGGUGCGUAGGCGGAUCGUUAAUUCAGUGGUCAAAUUGAGGGGCUCAACCCCUUCCCGCCAUUGAUACUGGCGUUCUUGAGUGGAAGAGAGGUAAGCGGAAUUCGUGGUGUAGCGGUGAAAUGCAUAGAUAUCACGCAGAACCCCGAUUGCGAAGGCAGCAUGCCGGCUUCCGACUGACGCUGAAGCACGAAAGCGUGGGGAUCGAACAGGAUUAGAUACCCUUGUAGUC
rnacentral:rRNA from 1 species